rfam:Triticum urartu cultivar G1812 contig331314, whole genome shotgun sequence.
CUCUCCGAUUCGGAAAUCGUCUCCAAGAUCCUCGCUGGUUUGGACAUGGAGUACAAUCCAGUCGUUUCCGCACUUGCUGCUCGUGUGGAACCCAUCACCGUCCAGGAGUUGUACAGCCAGCUACUCAGCUUCGAC